rnacentral:rRNA from 1 species
UACGUAGGGUGCGAGCGUUAAUCGGAAUUACUGGGCGUAAAGUGUGCGCAGGCGGCCGCGCAAGUCGAGUGUGAAAUCCCCGAGCUUAACUUGGGAAUUGCGCUCGAAACUACGUGGCUGGAGUGUGGCAGAGGAAGGUGGAAUUCCACGUGUAGCGGUGAAAUGCGUAGAGAUGUGGAGGAACACCGAUGGCGAAGGCAGCCUUCUGGGCCAACACUGACGCUCAUGCACGAAAGCGUGGGGAGCAAACAAGG